rnacentral:rRNA from 1 species
GACAGAGGGUGCAAACGUUGUUCGGAAUUCCUGGGCGUAAAGCGCGUGUAGGCGGCCCUGCAAGUCGGAUGUGAAAUCCCACGGCUCAACCGUGGAAGUGCAUUCGAAACUGCAGGGCUAGAGUCCUGGAGAGGAAGGUGGAAUGCUUGGUGUAGAGGUGAAAUUCGUAGAUAUCAAGCGGAACACCGGUGGCGAAGGCGGCCUUCUGGACAGUGACUGACGCUGAGACGCGAAAGCGUGGGGAGCAAACAGG